rnacentral:rRNA from 1 species
UACAUAGGGUGCAAGCGUUGUCCGGAAUUAUUGGGCGUAAAGAGCUCGUAGGUGGUUCGUCACGUCGGAUGUGAAACUCUGGGCUUAACCCCAGACCUGCAUUCGAUACGGCGAGCUUGAGUAUGGUAGGGAGUCUGGAAUUCCUGGUGUAGCGGUGGAAUGCGCAGAUAUCAGGAGGAACACCAAUGGCGAAGCAGACUCUGGCCGAUUACUGACACUGAGGAGCGAAAGCGUGGGAGCGAACAGG